UUUUCCUAUGAUGUGAGAUAGUGUCUUAACACUAAUGAGAGAACUGAGAUGUCGAGAUGCGAGAUUACUUUUUUUUUUAUGAUUAGAUAAGACAGAUUGUCUUUUAAAUAGAGAUACGAGUGACUAAACCGAGAAUAGAGUUAGAAUGAUGAGAUUCGAGAAAUGAGCUGAGAAAGAGAUGCUGAUUGAAUUGAGUUGAGAUUUUAUUUUAUUUCCGACUACCGGGAAUAGAUUUAACAGAUACUGAGUUAUCAGAGUUUGACUGACCUAUUAAAGAGAAUAGGUAUAAUGAGUCUGACUUAGAGUCAAGAAAGAAAGAGCGAGAACCCUGAUGGAAAGAGUCGGUUUGAGAGAUGUCUAGUUUGUUUGUUUGCCGACUGCUUUGAUGUGACAUUAUGUGAAAUUACGUGACUAAUCGAUUAUGUGAUUCUCGUGAUGUGUGUCACUGUGACCGGGUUAUUAUGAUUUUUUAUUCGAGACCUUAGCAUUUGGAAUUUUGAUUGAGUUUCCAAAGCAAGUAUGGGUUAUUUUUAUCGAGAAAUCGAAUGACGCCGGUUUAUGAAAAUUUUUCCGGGCAUAAUAUUUUUAAAAUUAUUUUCCUACGAAGAGGAAUAUUAUGAUUGAGUGAGUGCACUAAUAAUAGUGCUAUGAUCAUUAUUUUGGUCACAUGAAUAAUUAUACUAUGGUAUUUUAUUAAUGAGUGACUUUACCAUAGUUUUGUGAUUUUUAUUUAAUCACCCUUCACACUUUAUUUAAUUUUCCCAUACUAUAUGUUAUAUGCUUAAAUGACUAAGUAUGGAAUUAAGAGAGUAGAGAUUGAGAGUAUAGAGGAUGAGAGAGUGGAGAUGAGAGUGUAGAGAUUAGAGAGAGAUUAGAGAGAGAGAGAGAAAAGAUUAGAGAGAGAAGAGGAAAGAUUAGAGAGAGAAGAUCAUUAAUUACCAUAUAUUGCAUAAGAUAUGCAAGAUCAAAAUAAAUCUAGCAAAAUCCAAACCUCUCUCUCCCUCACUAAAUUUUCGGCCAUCACCCCUCUCUCCCUCACUAAAAAUUUCACCCAACACAUACAUACACUCAUCAUCUUCUUCACCUCACAUAUCCACCAUUUUCCUCCAUUAGAGCAACCUUCGAAGCUUACAAAAAAAAUACUACUAAACACCUCACAUCACUCUAAAACUUUCCCUAAACACUAUCUACCUUCAAUUGAUCAAGAAAAUCCUUGAAGAAGAAGCUCCAAAGUAGAGUGAGAAAGUGAGAAAAUUUUGGUAAGAACUUGGGCCCGAGCGAGACGAAGCAGUAAGUUGCCUGAUUUCUUUCCAGAUUAAGCGAAGGACUUCAGGCUAAGCUGGGAGUGAGAUUGGACUGGUGCUGAUGGGGGAGAGUUUCAAAUGAUGUAAAUUAAAUUACUAUUUUGCCUCGAUGAUAAUAGAGUCUUGAUGUUUGAAUUACUUAGUUUCUUUUGAGAUCAAGCAAUACACUCACGGUUAUGUGUCUUCAUACAUAUAAUCGGUUCGCCUUUUGCUGCGAUACUCUGCAAAUUAUGCUUCCUUAUGAAAAAUGAACUAUACGCGUUUUGUUUU